rnacentral:rRNA from 2 species
GCGGCAGGCUUAACACAUGCAAGUCGAACGACAUAGUGGCAGACGGGUGAGUAACGCGUGGAAACGUACCUUUCACUACGGAAUAGCUCUUGGAAACGAGUGGUAAUACCGUAUACGCCCUUCGGGGGAAAGAUUUAUCGGUGAAAGAUCGGUCCGCGUUAGAUUAGCUAGUUGGUGAGGUAAGAGCUCACCAAGGCGACGAUCUAUAGCUGGUCUGAGAGGAUGAUCAGCCACACUGGGACUGAGACACGGCCCAGACUCCUACGGGAGGCAGCAGUGGGGAAUAUUGCACAAUGGGCGAAAGCCUGAUGCAGCCAUGCCGCGUGAAUGAUGAAGGCCUUAGGGUUGUAAAAUUCUUUCGCUAGGGAUGAUAAUGACAGUACCUAGUAAAGAAGCCCCGGCUAACUUCGUGCCAGCAGCCGCGGUAAUACGAAGGGGGCUAGCGUUGUUCGGAAUUACUGGGCGUAAAGCGCACGUAGGCGGGUUAUUAAGUCAGAUGUGAAAUCCCAAGGCUCAACCUUGGAACUGCAUUUGAAACUGAUAGCCUAGAGAUCAGGAGAGGUUAGCGGAAUACCGAGUGUAGAGGUGAAAUUCGUAGAUAUUCGGUGGAACACCAGUGGCGAAGGCGGCUAACUGGACUGAUACUGA